GUGACGAGCGUCUCUUCUACGGACGAGUGAGAGCCAAAGGCCGUGCUGUUGGUGCCGGUAGUGGAGGCAGUGGCAGUGGCUGUGGCUGUGGCUGUGCCCAUGCCAGUGAUUGUGCCGGUGUUGCUGUGCGUGCGGAAAGUGCCAUGGGCUGUGCCGUGCACAGUUGAAGGGGGAAACAAAAAGAUCGAGUGGAGGUUGUGCAGGUUUAGGAUCUGGAAUAGGCGGAAGAAUGUCUGAAACAAAGUAAAUCAAGAAAAGGAUACCAGGUCGAAAUGGAAACCAAACGAACAUCAACAUGCUUUGGUGCUAGUUUGACCAAAAUCCGGAAACAAGUGCUCCGACAUGCAAUAACAAACAAUUGGUUAUCGAACGAGGAGUAGGAGUUUGUUGAUCAAGACGACUUUCUUCCUGACAUUCCACCUCUAAGCAAUAUACCAUAAUCGGAUCCUUUUCCUUCCUAUCUUUCUUUCUUUUCUUUCAUUCAUUCAAUCGCAUCGUCACCGUAUCAUUCACCCCUUAACGUGGAAUUAAAUCAAUGUUCUCUUGUGAUCGUGCAAGCACAUCGGAUUAAAGGAUUGGAAAAAACUGAUCAGAUUGUAAGGUCAGAGGAUAUAUGCUAUAGCCGCACAAGAUGGCCGGACAAGGAUUCGAUCCUUACUUACCCACGCAGGGAUUGUGGUUUACCAUGCUGAAAAUUCUAUCGCAUCGCUUCUUGUUAUGGUUAUUCGGACAUAUACACCCGAACAUUGGCGAGCGACGCAAAUUUGUCCACGACUUGUGACACAGAUCUCUGCAAGAUGCGGUGCUUGCGAUAAAACCUCGGCUACUUAACGCUUAACUUACCUGUCGUCCAUGCGACAUUUGUUAUCUCGCACCUUGCAGUUGGAUUUGAAAUCCUCGUAUAGUUUCAGACAUUUGCCUUCUUGUUGGCAUACGGAUAAGGCGUAAUUGCACGUCGGCAAAGCGUCCACAGGGGCUUGUUGAUCGAGAUUAGCCAGGAGUGUAAGCACGAUAAGCACGUGUGGCGGCGGCUAGUGGAGGAGAAGUGGCGAAAGUAGAGAGCGCGCAAAGAGUGGUGAGUCAUCGUGGAGACAAGCAAGGGUGAACUAUUUAGACAAUGGAGUGAAGUGGAUGGAGGCGGCGGAGGCGACACGCUCAAGCCGCUAGAACAGUGCAGGCCAGAACGCUUUUAUAAAUUAUUCAAGGUGCUGUAUUGAUCCGGGGUUCCUUUGCGCUCCUUUACCCCGUAUGUGUGAAUUUCAACUUGGAUAUCUUUGAUCCGCGCUCUUCGCGAAUGCCGCAACGACUUACUUCCCUGACCUACGAGAACUUGCCGCACUUACACCUGCUAGUUAUCCAAAUUGACGCCAUCCCGGGCGAAUGCUUUUCCAGGAACAUUGACACAAAGCGUCACUAUCCACUGACGUCAAAGUGUAUUUCAUUUCAAUUCCAUAUCGGUGAUUAACGACUCCAACUCAUCAAAUUGAGAGGUGCAAAAUCGCCUUUAGGUCCAUUUUUAAUUGCUUUUUAAAAAGAAUAACUUAUACUAAUAAACAACUAAAAAACAUCAUUAAUACAAAAGAUAAAAUAAUAAUGAUUUUGUUUAGUUUAAUGGUUAUUUAUUCGACGAGUUUGAGUGUAAAAUCUGACGCUUUAUUUCACCGAGUGGAUUAUUAAACCACGAAUGUUAACAAAUUUUUACUCCACGGUUUACAUUUAUUCCUAAAAGUGACCGCUUUUAUAACGUUUGUAGAUAAAUAAAUAAUACAACUUUAAUGCCUUGUUGUACAACUAUUUUAGACCUAAAAUAAACAGUUGUAUUUUUUCUUAUUAUUAAGAUGUUAAUUUCCCAAGAAAAUAUAUAAUCAAAAAUAUUUUUUCUACGACACUAUAAGACAGAUGUACGUUAUUAUAACGCACGGUUAUAAAGUAAUAAUUUACUAUUAUCACGUAUGUUGCUAUUUUGUUUAUCUGCAACGAACGCUCAGAAGCAAGAGAAACGUCAAAAAUUUUCGAGCCAUUUUUGAGCUAACGGAUUUUGGAAAGGUUACAGUUAUAACACUUUCCAUGGGUUUUUAUGUUAUAUUAUUACAAUCUAAACUAUCAAAUUAGUAAUCUGACCAUUAAUUUCAUUGAUUCUAAAAAAUAAAUAUUUUUGCAAUAAAUGACUUUUUUAGUGUCGUAGGGAAAAUAGCGUACAAAACUCGUUGGAAAGUAUCUAACACACUCGUGGGGCUUCCCACUUGUGCGUUAAUUAUUUGUCACUUUCCAUGCUCGUUACGUAAUAUAUUAUAAUUGAGCCAUACUUCAAAUUAACAAAAACUCCUGUUAUAUACAGGUGCGGCAGAACUCGCGCCCCAGAGAAAAAAUCUAUAAAAAUUUCGAAGUUAUGAGAGUUUAAAUU